rnacentral:rRNA from 1 species
UAGGGAAUCUUCCGCAAUGGACGCAAGUCUGACGGAGCAACGCCGCGUGAGUGAAGAAGGAUUUCGGUUCGUAAAACUCUGUUGUUAGAGAAGAACAGCGCAUAGAGUAACUGUUAUGCGUGUGACGGUAUCUCACCAGAAAGCCACGGCUAACUACGUGCCAGCAGCCGCGGUAAUACGUAGGUGGCAAGCGUUGUCCGGAUUUAUUGGGCGUAAAGUGAGCGCAGGCGGUUAGAAAAGUAUGAAGUGAAAGGCAGUGGCUCAACCAUUGUAGGCUUUGGAAACUGUUUAACUUGAGUGCAGAGGGGGAGAGUGGAAUUCCAUGUGUAGCGGUGAAAUGCGUAGAUAUAUGGAGGAACACCGGUGGCGAAAGCGGCUCUCUGGACUGUAACUGACACUGAGGCUCGAAAGCGUGGGGAGCGAACAGG